rnacentral:miRNA from 10 species
GUGAGGGGGCUGACAUGAAGAGGCGCCGGAGAAGCCAUAGUAUGGGGUUGGGCUGCACACUCACCUCCCUGUGCCUUCCAG